CCUACGGGAGGCAGCAGUGGGGGAUAUUGGACAAUGGGGGAAACCCUGAUCCAGCGACGCCGCGUGAGUGAAGAAGUAUUUCGGUAUGUAAAGCUCUAUCAGCAGGGAAGAAAGAAAUGACGGUACCUGAGUAAGAAGCCCCGGCUAACUACGUGCCAGCAGCCGCGGUAAUACGUAGGGGGCAAGCGUUAUCCGGAUUUACUGGGUGUAAAGGGAGCGUAGACGGCGAUGCAAGUCUGAAGUGAAAGGCGGGGGCCCAACCCCCGGACUGCUUUGGAAACUGUAUGGCUGGAGUGCAGGAGAGGUAAGUGGAAGUCCUAGUGUAGCGGUGAAAUGCGUAGAUAUUAGGAGGAACACCAGUGGCGAAGGCGGCUUACUGGACUGUAACUGACGUUGAGGCUCGAAAGCGUGGGGAGCAAACAGGAUUAGAUACCCCGGUAGUC
rnacentral:rRNA from 1 species